rnacentral:rRNA from 1 species
UACGGAGGAUGCGAGCGUUAUCCGGAUUUAUUGGGUUUAAAGGGCGCGUAGGCGGAGUGCCAAGUCAGCGGUAAAAAUUCGGGGCUCAACCCCGUCGUGCCGUUGAAACUGGCGCCCUUGAGUGGGCGAGAAGUAUGCGGAAUGCGUGGUGUAGCGGUGAAAUGCAUAGAUAUCACGCAGAACCCCGAUUGCGAAGGCAGCAUACCGGCGCCCGACUGACGCUGAAGCACGAAAGCGUGGGUAUCGAACAGG